UGGGGAAUAUUGGACAAUGGGCGCAAGCCUGAUCCAGCCAUGCCGCGUGUGUGAAGAAGGCCUUUUGGUUGUAGAGCACUUUAAGCGAGGAGGAGGCUACUUGGAUUAAUACUCUAGGAUAGUGGACGUUACUCGCAGAAUAAGCACCGGCUAACUCUGUGCCAGCAGCCGCGGUAAUACAGAGGGUGCGAGCGUUAAUCGGAUUUACUGGGCGUAAAGCGUGCGUAGGCGGCUUUUUAAGUCGGAUGUGAAAUCCCUGAGCUUAACUUAGGAAUUGCAUUCGAUACUGGGAAGCUAGAGUAUGGGAGAGGAUGGUAGAAUUCCAGGUGUAGCGGUGAAAUGCGUAGAGAUCUGGAGGAAUACCGAUGGCGAAGGCAGCCAUCUGGCCUAAUACUGACGCUGAGGUACGAAAGCAUGGGGAGCAAACAGG
rnacentral:rRNA from 1 species